rnacentral:rRNA from 1 species
CACGUAGGGCGCAAGCGUUGUCCGGAAUUACUGGGCGUAAAGCGCACGUAGGCGGAUCAGUAAGUCAGGGGUGAAAUCCCGGGGCUCAACCCCGGAACUGCCUUUGAUACUGCUGGUCUGGAGGUCGAGAGAGGUGAGUGGAAUUCCGAGUGUAGAGGUGAAAUUCGUAGAUAUUCGCAAGAACACCAGUGGCCGAAGGCGGCUCACUGGCCCGAUACUGACGCUGAGGCACGAAAGCGUGGGGAGCAAACAGG